GAUGAAGUGGCGGAGUGGUUAAGGCAAUGGACUGCUGAUCCAUUGUUCUCUGAAUGCAUGGCUCAAAUCCUGCCCUUGCC
rnacentral:tRNA from 1 species